rnacentral:tRNA from 1 species
UCCCCGGUGGUCCAGUGGUGAAGACUUUGCACUUCCAGUGUAAGGGGCACAGUUUUGAUCCCUGCUUGGGGAU